UGAUACCAAAAUGCUUAGUUUUAUUAGAAAAUUGUGUAAAUUUUCAGUAAAAACAUUGUCUAAAUUGUGUCAACAACUUAAAAUUUAAAAUAUUUAGAAGUAAUGGAGUAUUGAUAAACCCUGGUUUAUUAUAUUUUUAGUAUAUUUGGACGCCUUAGACAGUGGAGAAGGUCACUGGCUCAUUAGAAUAGACGAAGAAGAGAAGGAUAUAGACACUAGUGGAGAUGAAGAAAUCACCGAAUUUAAACUAUUGCCAACCCCUCCACUAAAGAGGAAAGAUAAAAAUAAGAAAAAGAAAGAGGUGUGCUGUAAAUUGGGUCGCUUAGCAGGUGAUAAAGGGUACAUAUGUUUCGCUGAUUUGUACUUGGCCAGGAUAAUUGAGAGGAACAGAAAUAGGGCACAGAGUAAAAUGAGGCUCUCUACUAACGAAAACAUCAAGAAAUCUAAAGAAAAAGUCAUGAGAGCCUUCAGUAGGUGCGUUAAAGGAAUGAAAGGUGUAUUUAACAAGUGCUGUUAUGAAACAUCUAUGAAGUUAGAUGAGAAAAUGAA